GAGUUUGAUCCUGGCUCAGAUUGAACGCUGGCGGCAGGCCUAACACAUGCAAGUCGAACGGUAACAGGAUGUGCUUGCACAUCGCUGACGAGUGGCGGACGGGUGAGUAAUGCUUGGGAACUUGCCUUUGCGAGGGGGAUAACAGUUGGAAACGACUGCUAAUACCGCAUAAUGUCUUCGGACCAAACGGGGCUUAGGCUCCGGCGCAAAGAGAGGCCCAAGUGAGAUUAGCUAGUUGGUAAGGUAACGGCUUACCAAGGCGACGAUCUCUAGCUGUUCUGAGAGGAAGAUCAGCCACACUGGGACUGAGACACGGCCCAGACUCCUACGGGAGGCAGCAGUGGGGAAUAUUGCACAAUGGGGGAAACCCUGAUGCAGCCAUGCCGCGUGUGUGAAGAAGGCCUUCGGGUUGUAAAGCACUUUCAGUUGUGAGGAAAAGUUAGUAGUUAAUACCUGCUAGCCGUGACGUUAACAACAGAAGAAGCACCGGCUAACUCCGUGCCAGCAGCCGCGGUAAUACGGAGGGUGCGGGCGUUAAUCGGAAUUACUGGGCGUAAAGCGCACGCAGGCGGUUUGUUAAGCUAGAUGUGAAAGCCCCGGGCUCAACCUGGGAUGGUCAUUUAGAACUGGCAGACUAGAGUCUUGGAGAGGGGAGUGGAAUUCCAGGUGUAGCGGUGAAAUGCGUAGAUAUCUGGAGGAACAUCAGUGGCGAAGGCGACUCCCUGGCCAAAGACUGACGCUCAUGUGCGAAAGUGUGGGUAGCGAACAGGAUUAGAUACCCUGGUAGUCCACACCGUAAACGCUGUCUACUAGCUGUGUGUGCCUUUAAAGGCGUGCGUAGCGAAGCUAACGCGCUAAG
rnacentral:rRNA from 1 species